CUACCAGCCCACGCAGGAUGCAAAAUCUGUCCAAUUUUUUUUUUUUUUUUUUUUAAAACAUAAAAUGCUAUUUGGUAAUCUGAUCAUGAUUUGCAGGCAAAGGUUGGAUUUUUCAGCAUGGCUCAAAAAUCGUGGAUUUAGGGUUUCUGAAAUUUAAAUCCAAUGGCCCAAAAUCAAAAGAGACCCCUAGAUCAGAUCAAGAAAACACAUGGAGGAAAAAAAAAAGCACUUUUUUUUUUGUUUUUCUUGGGGGUUUUGCAUGGAUUUGGUCGGAAAUCAAACGAGGAUGGAUUUUCUCGGAAAUCAAACGAGGAUGGAUUUUCUCGGAAAUCAAACGAGGAUGAAUUUUCCCGGAAAUCGAAUGGGGGAUGGAUUUUCUUGGGAAUCAAACGGGGGUUGCAAAAAAAAUAUAAUAACUUGAUUAGAUUCGUACCUGCGAGGAUUGAGAAUGGCAGAGGAAAAAAUAGGGCUUUUUUUAGGGAUUCUCUCGUCUGGAGGCCAACUUCAGAAAAGGGCCUCGGAAAUCAAACGAGGAUGGAUUUUCUCGGAAAUCAAACGAGGAUGGAUUUUCCCGAAAAUCGAAUGGGGGUGGAUUUUCUUGGGAAUCAAACGGGGGUUGCAAAAAAAAUAAUAAUAACUUAUUAGAUUAGUACCUGCGAGGAUUGAGAAUGGCAGAGGAAAAAAUAGGGCUUUUUUAGGGAUUCUCUCGUCUGGAGGCCAACUUCAGAAAAGGGCCUCGGAAAUCAAACGAGGAUGGAUUUUCCCGGAAAUCGAAUGGGGGUGGAUUUUCUUGGGAAUCAAACGGGGGUUGCAAAAAAAAUAAUAAUAACUUGAUUAGAUUAGUAUUGCGAGGAUUGAGAAUGGCAGAGGAAAAAAUAGGGCUUUUUUAGGGAUUCUCUCGUCUGGAGGCCAACUUCAGAAAAGGGCUCCUUGAUGCCCGAGUGAGAGACGGUGUCGUGAGAGACGGUGGCUGCUGACAGGGACAAUUAAAGGGCAAUUUUGGAAUAGCAUUUUAAAACAGUAGAUAAUGCAUGUUUCCUUUAAUAUUUUUCCAAACAGUGGAG
rnacentral:lncRNA from 1 species